UACGGGAGGCAGCAGUGGGGAAUUUUGGACAAUGGGGGGAACCCUGAUCCAGCCAUGCCGCGUGAGUGAAGAAGGCCUUCGGGUUGUAAAGCUCUUUUGUCCGGGAGGAAAUCACCUAUGUGAAUAAUGUAGGUGUAUGACAGUACUGGAAGAAUAAGCACCGGCUAACUACGUGCCAGCAGCCGCGGUAAUACGUAGGGUGCGAGCGUUAAUCGGAAUUACUGGGCGUAAAGGGUGCGCAGGUGGUUUAUCAAGCCAGAUGUGAAAUCCCCGGGCUUAACCUGGGAAUGGCAUUUGGGACUGAUAGACUAGAGUACGGCAGAGGGGGGUAGAAUUCCACGUGUAGCAGUGAAAUGCGUAGAGAUGUGGAGGAAUACCGAUGGCGAAGGCAGCCCCCUGGGUUGAUACUGACACUCAAGCACGAAAGCGUGGGUAGCAAACAGGAUUAGAUACCCUGGUAGUCCACGCCCUAAACGAUGUCUACUAGUUGUUGGGAGAUUAACUCUCUUAGUAACGCAGCUAACGCGAGAAGUAGACCGCCUGGGGAGUACGGUCGCAAG
rnacentral:rRNA from 1 species